CUUUAAGGGUCCUGAAGGAACGUUGAAGACGACGACGUUGAUAGGCCGGGUGUGUAAGCGCAGCGAUGCGUUGAGCUAACCGGUACUAAUGAACCGUGAGGCUUAACCUUACAACGCCAAAG
rnacentral:rRNA from 1 species